rnacentral:rRNA from 1 species
UACGUAGGGUGCAAGCGUUAAUCGGAAUUACUGGGCGUAAAGCGUGCGCAGGCGGUUUUGUAAGUCGGAUGUGAAAGCCCCGGGCUCAACCUGGGAAUUGCAUUCGAGACUGCGUAGCUAGGGUGCGGAAGAGGGAAGCGGAAUCUCCGGUGUAGCGGUGAAAUGCGUAGAUAUCGGAAGGAACACCAGUGGCGAAAGCGGCUUCCUGGUCCAGCACCGACGUUCAGGCACGAAAGCGUGGGGAGCAAACAGG